UACGUAGGUGGCGAGCGUUGUCCGGAUUUACUGGGCGUAAAGGGAGCGUAGGCGGAUUUUUAAGUGAGAUGUGAAAUACUCGGGCUCAACUUGAGUGCUGCAUUUCAAACUGGAAGUCUAGAGUGCAGGAGAGGAGAAUGGAAUUCCUAGUGUAGCGGUGAAAUGCGUAGAGAUUAGGAAGAACACCAGUGGCGAAGGCGACUCUCUGGACUGUAACUGACGCUGAGGCUCGAAAGCGUGGGGAGCAAACAGG
rnacentral:rRNA from 1 species